CCUUAACCCUUUGAAGCCGGAAUUUUUCCAAGCGUUAUUCUGGAGUUUUUUCUACGUUUUUCUGUAUUUUUGGUAUUCAAUAGUACAAACACGGUAGAAUAUUAUGCGGAAUAUUUUUUCUGGACAUCCUAGGUCAUCCAAACUAUUCUUGAGUUUAGAUCCUUAAGUCUAUGGGUGCAACGGUAACUUCUUUCAUUAUACAAAGCUACGAUUUGUAAUCUAUCAUGUCCAGUAAAUCAUCUGAGAGUUCAAAAGACAGAAUCAGAUCAGUCAGGGUAUCCUAGGUCAUCCAAACUGUCCUUGAGUUUAGAUCCUUAAGUCUAUGGGUGUAACGGUAACUUCUUUAACUACACAAAGCUACAAUUUGUAAUCUAUCAUGUCCAGUAUGUCUUCUGUAAGUUCAAUAGACAGUAUCAGAUCAGUCGGAAUAUCCUAGCUCAUCCAAACUGUUCUUGAGUUUAGAUCCUAAAGUCUGCGGGUGCAACGGUAACUUCUUUCAUUAUACAAAGCUGCGAUUUGUAAUCCAUCAUGUCAAACAAGUCUUCUGAAAGGUAAAUGGACAAUAUCAGAUCAGUUGGGAUAUCCUAGUUCAUCCAAACUGUCCUUGAGUUUAAAUCCUAAAGUCUAUGGGUGUAACGGUAACUUCUUUCACUACAUAAAGCUACAACUUGUAAUCUAUCAUGUCCAGUAAUGUCUUCUGUAUGUUCAAUAGACAGUAUCAGAUCAGUCGGAAUAUCCUAGCUCAUCCAAACUGUUCUUGAGUUUAGAUCCUAAAGUCUGCGGGUGCAACGGUAACUUCUUUAUUUACACAAAGCUACGAUUUGUAAUCUAUCGUGUCCAGCAAGUCUUCUGAAAAAUGAAUAAACAAUAUCAGAUCAGUAGAAAUAUCCUAGAUCAUCCAAACUGUUAUUGAGUUUAGAUCCUAAAGUCUGCGGAUGUAACGGUAACUUCUUUCAUUAUACAAAGGUACGAUUUGUAAUCUAUCAUAUCCAGUUAGUAUUCUGAAAGUUCAAUAGACAGUAUCAGAUCAGUCGAGAUAUCCUAGUUGGAUGACCUAAAGUCUAUGGGUGUGUUACCGUUACCUACCUUACCGUUACCGUUACCUUUCACUACACAAAGCUACAACUUGUAAUCUAUCAUGUCCAGUAAUGUCUUCUGUAUGUUCAAUAGACAGUAUCAGAUCAGUCGGAAUAUCCUAGGUCAUCUAAACUGUUCUUGAGUUUAGAUCCUAAAGUCUAUGGGUGUAACGGUAACUGCUUUCAUUACACAAAGCUGCGAUUUGUAAUCUAUCAUGUCCAGCAAAUCUUCUGAAAGAUAAAUAGACAGCAUCAGAUCAGUCGGGGUAUCCUAGGUCAUCCAAACUGUUCUUGAGUUUAGAUCCUUAAAUCUGCGGAUGUAACGGUAACUUCUUUCAUUAUACAAAGCUGCGAUUUGUAAUCUAUCAUGUCCAGCAAGUAUUCUGAAAGUUCAAUAGACACUAUCAGCUCAGUCGGGAUAUCCUAGGUCAUCCAAACUAUUCUUGAGUUUAGAUCCUUAAGUCUAUGGGUGUAACGGUAACUUCUUUCACUACACAAUGCUACAAUUUGUAAUCUAUCAUGUCCAGUAAAGUCUUCUGUAAGUUCAAUAGACAGUAUCAGAUCAGUCGGAAUAUCCUAGGUCAUCCAAACUGUUCUUGAGUUUAGAUCCUAAAGUCUGCGGGUGUAACGGUAACUUCUUUCUUUACACAAAGCAACGAUUUGUAAUCUAUCAUGUCCAGUAAGUCUUCUGAAAAUUCAAUAGACAAUAUCAGAUCAGUCGGAAUAUCCUAAGUCAUCCAAACUGUGUUCUUGAGUUUAGAUCCUAAAGUCUGUGGGUGUAACGGUAACUUAUUUCAUUAUACAAAGCUACGACUUGUAGUCUAUCAUGCCCAGUAAGUCUUCUGAAAGGUAAAUGGACAAUAUCAGAUCAGUUGAGAUAUCCUAGGUCAUCCAAACUAUACUAAAGUCUACGGGUGUAACGGUAACUUCUUUCAUUAAAAGCUACCGUUUGUAAUCUAUCAUGUCCAGCAAGUCUUCUGAAAGUUACUAAGGUUGUUUUUAUCAACUAACCUACUGUUAUGAAGCCCAUAAUAUCCCAAAAACAUAGAACAACGCGCAUUGUUUCUCUAACUGCUUUGGUAAGUACAGUGGAUUAUGUAACACCUUAACGUAGUGGUAAUAGUAGUUUACGCAACAAGGUGCCGAAUGACGAUUUUUACAGCACGAGUCGUACAUUUAUCCAACGAGGCUUGCCGAGUUGGAUAAUUACGACGAGUGCUGGAAAAAUCGAGUUCUGCACCGAGUUGCGUACAACGUUUUUUGCAAGUUCAUAAAUUACCCUUGAGGAUAGUUUUUAACAAAACUUUUUCAUCAAACUGCCCACUGGUGUUCAUAGCCAUGUUUAAGAAAAUCUGAACAUAACAGGUUAUACUGUGCAGUUGUUACAAUUUUUCAAAACUGCAUCCAGAAAGCAUCAAGAAGUUGACCAAAACUGAAAACAGUGCUGUAAUGAUUCAUUACGCAACGCAAAUCAGUGCUGUAAUAAACCAUUACAGCACUGUUAAUUUGGUGUGGGAAAGUAGGCCUUUUCCUGUCAGAUUUGCGUGAGGUAAAACAGCCUAUUACGAUGAGAAAUUACAAAAAAGCUAUUAUCACAAGUGUAGACCUGAAGCUGUGGCCUCCGGAGUAGUGAUGUUGAUCUGGAAUAUCUCAAAACUAUUUGCCGCUUAUCAUGCGCAACCAGAGCACACUAAUACCAACAUUCACUCAAUACAGCAGCGGGAGAAAAUAAGGAAAAACGCACUUCGGCGAACAAAGUUUACAAAAAAAAGUAUUGUGUGACUUUUCACAAACAAUUAUCACUCUCUGUAGGAACUUUAUCUAAAUAUCGACACUCUCAAAUUGGAAAUUAUCAAAUGAUGCAGCUUUUUCAUGAUCAACACUUUUAUGAGAUCUAAUGUGAUGUGAGCGUUUUGCACCGAUAUCCCUCGUAAAAAGGUAAACAUUCCAAUUUCACGACUGUGUUGGUGAAUAUUUUGGCUGGAGCAUAAAUUUAUGCUCCACGUAAGGAGGCACAAUCCAAUCUGUCAAACUCCAUAGUGAAAAAAUAGGUUGCCGUCCCCUUGGGGAUUACAGAUUAUAGUCCAAAGUUCAUUGUGAGAAUAACUACUGUUACUAUCAAGAUCUAAGCUUCAAGAUAAUUUGGACGACCCUCAAUGUCCCAAAGGUUCAUAAUAAUAUAUGAGGGGGUUAGAAGCAAAGGGGUGUAAGUUACCCACUUUCGAGUAAAUGAUGUUUAAAGUUUUUGACCAAUUUUUCAUCCCAUACAAAAUGUAUGGAGCUACAUAAUGAACCCAAGUUUCUAUGAUUUAUUGUAAUUUUUCCAAUCAUCGUAGAAACAAUCUUAAAAAAGUUCCUGAAAGCUUGAAAUCUAAAGAAUUUUAUGUUAUGCUCAGCUCAAAAUCGACAAAAUGGUCACUUACACCCCUUUGAUUCAGGGCCCCUCAUAUAGAAGACUUCAGGUUGGUCCAGUCACCGCUAUUGAUUAUGAAACGUUACUCAGAAUGUCAGAUAUAGCUGAUGUUACGAGUGUAGACCUGAAGCUCUGAACUCAUAGAUAGUUUGGCUGACCUGAAAGGAACAUUCCCAUAGUGUCUCUAAAUGACAUUUGAGAUUUCAAGAGCUUCACGGAUCUCAGCAGAUUAUUCUAUGCUAUUAUUUAUGAUGAAAACAAAUGAAGUUUUUCUUAAAGAUUUGAAGGACUUCAUUAUAGAACAGUUUGGACGACCGUGAAUGUCCCAAAGGUUUAUUACAAAAAAGUAGACUUCAGAUUGCUCCAGUAACUGCGGUUGAUUGUGCAGCGUUACUCAAUAUAACAGAUAUGGAUACUGUUACGAGUGUAGACCUGAAGUCCUGAACUCCAAGGUAGUUUGGCUGACCUGGAAUAUCCCUGUAGUGUCUCUAAAUGACACUUGAGUUUUCAAGGACUUUGGCAAAACACAUAAAGUUAUUCUUGUAGAUUUACAGGACUUCAUUAUAGAACAGUUUGGACAAACCUGAAUGUCCCAAAGGGUUAUAAUAAAAAAGUAGACUUCAGAUCGGUCCAGUAACCACGGAUAAAUAUGCAACGUUACUCAGUAUAACAGAUAUGGCUGUUGUUACAAGUGUAGACCUGAAGUCCUGAACUCCAAUAUAGUUUGGCUGACCUGGAAUAUCCUUGUAGUGUCUCUGAAUGACAUUUGAGAUUGCAAGAGCUCCGCGGACCCUAGCAGAUUACACAGCGUAACAAAAAAUAACGUUUGGUCUGUCUCAAGAGCAAACUUAAGUGCCUCCGAAGGAUUUUGGGCCGCUGAAUCCGAAUCCGGGCUCAGAUUUGCUCCAACACGUCACAAUUUUGAGCUAUACCUCAAUUUAUAGGGCAAAAUAUGCGAUUUUGGGCUUUUUUGACUGCAAGUUAUUAAGCAUGUAAAUAUUUUUUUUUAAUCAAUCAAAAGGUUGAUUGGUCAAUUAACAUCUAAAUUAACGACUCAUGCUAAAUAUUUCGUUUUACCAAAUCGAAUUUGAUAGUUUUAAGCGAUUUAUUCUAGGUACGAUAUUUCCCAUACAAGUCACCCUCCAAAAGUUGCAUGCAAGUUUUCAUACUAACAUAAAAUGCAUAAAUCUAUCAAAUUUGAUUAGGUAAAACGAAAUAUUUUGCAUGAGUUGUUAAUUUAGAUGUUAAUCAACCAAUUAACCUUUUGAUUGAUUAAAAAAAAUAUUUCCAUGCUUAAUAACUUGCAGUCAAAAAAGCCCAAAAUCGCAUAUUUUGCCCUAUAAAUUGAGGUAUAGCUCAAAAUUGUGACGUGUUGGAGCAAAUCUGAGCCCGGAUUCGGAUUCAGCGGCCCAAAAUCCUUCGGAGACACAUAAGUUUGCUCUUGAGACAAAAAAAUGUUGCGCUGUGUUAUACAAUACUAUUAUAUAUGGUGAAAACACAUAAAGUUGUUCUUGUAGAUUUGAAGGACUUUAUUAUAGAACAAUUUGGGCGACCCUAGAUGUCCCAAAGGUUUAUAAUAAGCUUGUAGACUUCAGAUUGUUCCAGUAACUACAGUUGAUUAUGCAGCGUUUUUCAGUAUAACAGAUAUGGAUACUGUUACGAGUGUAGACCUGAAGUCCUGAACUCCAAGGUAGUUUGGCUGACCUGGAAUAUCCCUAUAGUGUCUAUAAAUGGCAUAGUAGAUGUCAAGAGCUUCACGGAUCUCAGUAGGUUAUGCAAUGCUAUUAAUUGUGGCGAAAAUACAUAAAAUUAUUCUUGUAGAUUUGAAGGACUUUACUAUAGGACAGUUUGGAAUACCUAGAACAUCCCAGAAUAUAAGCAUCUUUACUUUGCAUGGUUGAUUUAAAGUGGAAAUGUGCAAUUUUGCGACUGAACCAAGAUAAUACCAGUAUAAUCAUAAUUUGACUCGAUAAUUGCCCAUUUCCACUUCAAAUCAACAUUAGAUUUGCAUGGAAAGUAAUGAUUGCUCUAGAUACGCCGUAUAUUUGCAGGCAAUGGCUUCAGCACCAUGGUUACAGCUGUACAGGCAUGGGUAUUCAGCUGAGAAUGACGGUCGAUCCAGGAACUUUUCGUAAAGAAAAUUGGCUUUAUUUCCUUGGGCAUGCAGUAUUUUUUUGCACGAUAUAGGGUAUGUGUGCCAUCAGUAAUCUCACGCUCCCAUAUUUAUCCUAUUCGAAAACAAGCAAAUACGGCACCGAUUCAUUCCGUUCUUUUUAAUUUCAUGCAUGCUCUCUUCAAACCGAAGGGAUGACACUCUGAUCUUUUGAGUUUAAUCUUUUUUGAAUCUUUUUGAAUCAUUUCUAAUCUUUCCGAAUCAUGCAUAUCAAGAAGGACAGAAAUUUUUGAUUCAGUGUCUGAAGAACACCUGUCAAACCGAACCUCGUUCGCGCGCGCGAAAUAAACAAGUGAAAACAAAACACCAAAGAGCAGCGGUGAACAUUGCUUAAAUUGUUAAUAUUCUUGGCUGACAUGCCGGAGCUUGAUGACCGGUCUGGUGCCGUAGUGAGACGUGCCGUAGACAGCCACCUUUCUGAGCGUUCGUCAGUCAUCGAUUUGCUGCCAGCUAGAAUUUUCCUCGACCCAUACCUACUUCAUUUUCGAAGGUGCUCCACAACUAGCCUCUGGGUGUGCUCUGGGUCUAUUCUGCUGCGAAGUUCUGAUGGAUUCGUACAGUAAAUUACCGUUCUCGUUGUGAAAACGAUUCUACUAGUAAGGCGAAAAACAUUAGGUUGGUGUAGACGGUCUGCCACGAUAUGGCAGCGUAUUUUUCGUGUAAAGCUGCCGCGAAAAGAACAAGCUCCGGAAUUAGCGUUUUGAUUUGGAGACGCAGAAGUAGGUACGUGACAAAAUUCUAAGACCCCAACGCACCGAAUUGUUCUGUCGGCGUUUCUCUUGUUCUCGAAGGGAUGACACUCUGAUCUUUUGAGUUUAAUCUUUUUUGAAUUGAAUCAUUUCUAAUCUUUCCGAAUCAUGCAUAUCAAGAAGGACAGAAAUUUUUGAUUCAGUGUCUGAAGAACACCUGUCAAACCGAACCUCGUUCGCGCGCGCGAAAUAAACAAGUGAAAACAAAACACCAAAGAGCAGCGGUGAACAUUGCUUAAAUUGUUAAUAUUCUUGGCUGACAUGCCGGAGCUUGAUGACCGGUCUGGUGCCGUAGUGAGACGUGCCGUAGACAGCCACCUUUCUGAGCGUUCGUCAGUCAUCGAUUUGCUGCCAGCUAGAAUUUUCCUCGACCCAUACCUACUUCAUUUUCGAAGGUGCUCCACAACUAGCCUCUGGGUGUGCUCUGGGUCUAUUCUGCUGCGAAGUUCUGAUGGAUUCGUACAGUAAAUUACCGUUCUCGUUGUGAAAACGAUUCUACUAGUAAGGCGAAAAACAUUAGGUUAGAUGAUGUUGGUGUAGACGGUCUGCCACGAUAUGGCAGCGUAUUUUUCGUGUAAAGCUGCCGCGAAAAGAACAAGCUCCGGAAUUAGCGUUUUGAUUUGGAGACGCAGAAGUAGGUACGUGACAAAAUUCUAAGACCCCAACGCACCGAAUUGUUCUGUCGGCGUUUCUCUUGUUCUGCAACGGUGAAUGGAACAAGUUGCAGGGCAAGGCGCAGUACGAACAGGUGGUCAAGCUGAAAUAGGAAAACGAAUAGACCGGUGGAAUCUCAAUCAACUCGCUGUAAACCAGCACGUAGCAUGCGGUAGUGACCCAACAGGAGAUGGAGAAACAGCUGACCAGGGAAUCGAACGUAGUUUGCGACGAUAAAGGCACUUCUGCUAAUCAUGGAGCAGCUUCUUCACCGGUCUCAUUUAUCAAAUGCUUUGUAAUAUUUCUUUCUGUUUUUAUAUAAUAUUAAUAAAAAAAAAUGCGGUGGGUGGGGGUGAGGUGUUUUGUUGGGCUCUAUAAAGUCAUCCGAAAUUACAUAGGCUGGGGCUACUAGUUGUAUGAAUAACUACAUCUGCCCAUAAUCGCAUAUCAGUAACAAUCGACAAAAAUAGGCAAAUUACCAUUUUCGCUUGCAUGUGAAUAAACCGAAAUUAAAAAAAAAAAACAUAAACUCCAAAUCAAUCGUUUAGCGAUAAAAUUAUCUACAGCACUUUUUG